ACCUAGCGGCGGACGGGUGAGUAAUACUUAGGAAUCUGCCUAUUAGUGGGGGACAACGUUCCGAAAGGAGCGCUAAUACCGCAUACGCCCUACGGGGGAAAGCAGGGGAUCACUUGUGACCUUGCGCUAAUAGAUGAGCCUAAGUCGGAUUAGCUAGUUGGUGGGGUAAAGGCCUACCAAGGCGACGAUCUGUAGCGGGUCUGAGAGGAUGAUCCGCCACACUGGGACUGAGACACGGCCCAGACUCCUACGGGAGGCAGCAGUGGGGAAUAUUGGACAAUGGGGGGAACCCUGAUCCAGCCAUGCCGCGUGUGUGAAGAAGGCCUUUUGGUUGUAAAGCACUUUAAGCGAGGAGGAGAGGCCCUAGGUUAAUACCCUAGGUGCUUGGACGUUACUCGCAGAAUAAGCACCGGCUAACUCUGUGCCAGCAGCCGCGGUAAUACAGAGGGUGCGAGCGUUAAUCGGAUUUACUGGGCGUAAAGCGUGCGUAGGCGGCCAUUUAAGUCGGAUGUGAAAUCCCCGAGCUCAACUUGGGAAUUGCAUUCGAUACUGGGUGGCUAGAGUAUAGGAGAGGAAGGUAGAAUUCCAGGUGUAGCGG
rnacentral:rRNA from 1 species